AUAAAUUAAAAAAUCUUAAAAAAAAAAAAAAAAAAAAAGACUACUUCCAGCCAGAGCCCACAGUUCUCGUCUGGCUACCAUUUCCCGACUCUCUAGCCACGGUUCCAACUCCAGGUUACAAGGAAUAGAAAAUGGCAAAGAAAAAGAGUGACUUUCAAGGCCUUGGUCUAGGUGGGACGAUACUGAGCGUGAGUGUGAGAGAAAGACAGACUACGUAAGAUCAUAUGCAGGGAGGUAAAAAGAGAGGGAGAUAAAGAGCAAGACUUUCUUCAUUAAUCAUUCGGGCAAUGUCCUGGAUAUUAAAUUUCAGCUUACAUUCAAGAGCAGGGGCCAUUCCCAAGCUAUGGAAUAACUAUGAAGCCAGAUCCCUUCUAACAAUAUGCACGCGGUACUAAUAGUUUCCAUCUUCAAAACUCCAGAAUGAAAGCGAUGAAGUUGACGUUUUAAAAGUGUUUACUCUUCAUAUCCAUUAAAACAUUCAGAACAACUUCCACCUAGCCCUUGGCUGCUCAUCCACCAGGAAACUCAUCUGCUUUUGUCUGGCUUGGUGUCAAUGCUCCAUCGACUCUGAACAAACGGCCCCUGAGUCACAGAUGUCUUGUGUCAAACACCUGUUAAUGCUGGCAGGCACCAAAGGGGUCAUGUCAAAGCGAGCUAAAGAAAAUGACAAAAGGAUGGUAAUCAUUUUGGAUGCGAAUAUACCCAUAAAGAUCUUUGAACCGUACAAAAAUUUCCAAGUUUGUCUAACAAUGGCUUGAUUAGAAGGAUACAUAAAAAUGAAACCAGAAUUGCUACUUAGAAGUGCUUCGAUUGCAGUCUAUGUGUUCUACUUUGUAGAACCAUUUCCUGAGCCUUAUCUUGGAAGAAAAAGCAGGAUGAUAAGGAGGAACAUUUCAAUCCAGCUAAGAACGUUUAAAGAAAGUUCAUUCAAACAAAGAACAUUUAUUCUGAAAACCGGAGACAGUAUAAUACACGCAGAGGCUCCAGCUACAAUGGCACCCAACUACGGCCUGGGGCAUGGAGAACUCUUUACCAGCACUCAGUCUGGGGCCUAGGACCCAAAAGACACUGGAGUUCCAGCAUC